ACACGAGAGAGGAGGUGGUCCUGCAGUGAUUUCAGCAAGGACGCGUGAGGUGGUUGCGCGCUAGCGCAAGUCAUCGAAGAACGCCGGUCCCAACGCCCGGCGAGUGACUCGAUGGACGCCGCGCCUGCGAAUUCCUCGCAGCCGCCGCAGCCCGCGGGCGGAUGCCUCGUCCAGCAUCCACGCCGACCAUCCCGGUCGGCAGCCCGCGGGCUGUUCCAC
rnacentral:sRNA from 1 species